ACUGUUGUGAGUCAGGGUUAAUUUAUAUUGUUAUGUUAACAUUUCUACUGUUAUGCUAGUGAUUGCAUAAAUGACUUUCUACAUAAAAGGAGAAAGUCAACUGGUAAUGGAACCAGUGUCUUGGUUUGCAACUUUCUUUACUUUUGUCACCUGUUUCAUUCUGUGCUCCUGUUACUGCACCUGUGCAAGCUGAUGUAAGAACUCUCCAUGGCCAGUCGAUCCAUGAUUCCGUCUGUAUUCAGAGGCUGGAUGUUGACUUGCGUACCAGAGUACUCAUCUUGAUUCCGGUGUUAUGUGUAAGGGAGGCUUCCUCUAUUUUGAAAAAUCUGAAAUGUGGCCAUAUAAGACAUACUAUAACCAGUGUAAUUUGGGAAUAACGUGAAGCUUUCUACUUGGAACACAUAUGUAGAAAACUGUGGAUAAUUAAUGAAAGCCAUAUAUUGAUAAUAGUUGUGGAUAACACAUUGAUGUAGGAUGGCUGCAAGUUUUCUGAAGGGUAGUGUUUUGAAUUGUUAUUAGUGGAUUAAUGAUAAAAUAAACAGACAAGGCAGAAAGGAAAGGAGAGAAAGUGGCAGUCCUUGCUCAAUGGUGACCACUGGUGGUGAUCCAGUCAGUCAGUGCAGUGUGUCUGGAGCUAUAAGGUCUUUCCCCACAGACCCCUGGUCUUCAUGUUCAUGUACCAUUCUGUAAGCAGAUGUUUCGUUCUAUAAUUAGACCAGUGAGCAAGUCAAACAAUGACUAUAGAAAUCAGGAAAGAGAAAAAGGUGAAGCAUUGACCAAACAAAAAUUAUGUAAUGUGGCAAGAACACCAUUAAUAUAUUGAAAACGUUGAGUUCCAAAGUUAAGGAAGGCACGUCUGAGGGCUCACCCUGUCUGGGCAUCACAUCCCCAGCAUACACGUGAAAUGAAAACACUGGAAACAGUGGGUGCCCCAAGGAACCACUGAAAGAAAGGUGAUAAGCAAAAGUCAGUGAGAAAAGUGUUCUUUUGUGUCCUUGCUCUGCUCUGUGCUCCUCAGAAUGGUGCUCCCCAGAGGCUCCCACAUCCCACCUGGUCACUACUAGCCUAUGGUUGUUCUCUGGAUUAUGCCUUGGACCAUGUCUCCAGCAGAGAGCACCGAGCUGGCGUGAGAAUCCCCCUGACCUCCUCUUCCUGUGAAGCUCUUAGACUAUGCAGAGACUAUUGUGAGUCAGAAUCCAAAUUUGAUUCUUUUUUUAGGUACAAAAUUAAAGCUACUCAUGAUAGCAUUGUAAAGUUUUUUUUAUUUAUGACAAAAUUAAAAUUUACAUAUUCACGGGCU
rnacentral:lncRNA from 1 species